UUGUAGUAGUAGGGAGGAGGAGGAGAUGGCGAGGGUGGUGGUGGAGACUUGUAAUAGUAAGGAGAUGGAGGCGAUGGUGAGGGAGGUGGUGGAAACUUGUAGUAGUAAGGAGGUGGAGGAGAUGGGGAUGGAGGUGGUGGGAAUUUGUAGUAGUAUGGAGGAGACUUCACNNNNNNNNNNNNNNNNNNNNAGUAGUAUGGAGGAGACUUCACUGGCGGAGGUGGGGACUUGUAGUAGUAGGGAGCUGGUGGUGAAGGCGAUGGUGGUGGUGGGGACUUGUAGUAGUAGGGAGGAGGUGGGAACGGUGAUGGAGGUGGUGGGGACUUGUAGUAAUAGGGAGCAGGAAGGGACUUCACCGGUGGGGGCGGGGACUUGUAGUAGUACGGUGGUAGUGGAGAUGGAGAUGGUGGAGGUGGGGACUUGUAGUAGUAGGGAGGAAGUGGAGACUUUACAGGUGGAGGUGGGGACUUGUAGUAGUAGGGAGGAAAUGGAGAAGGAGAGGGUGGUGGUGGGGAUUGGUAGUAGUAUGGAGGAUGUGGAGAUGGAGAGGGUGGUGGUGGAGACUUGUAAUAGUAAGGAGCCG
rnacentral:lncRNA from 1 species